rnacentral:lncRNA from 1 species
AUCUGAAUCACUGUAAGCUAGAGAGCUUGUGACAAAACCCUGGUAGUCGACCUUCACUCCAGGGUUUUGCAUUUUAUUGGUCUGAGGUGUGACCUGAGCGAAUGGCACUGCAGCCAGGCCAGAGAACCAACAGAUGUGAGGAGCACCGUGGUCAUAAGAAAGCCGGCAAAGACUCCACUCCAAGCACAGUAACAGGGGUGACAUCGUGGAAUUGGACCGCGGCCUACAGAGGGGCAAGGGGGUCCCCCAAGUAUUUUAAAGAGAACGGGCCAAAAUGGAGCCACACCAUUAAAAGGAAUUAACAAACCUGAAAUGUUUCAGGUUAUUCGAUAUUUAUA